GGAUUUAUUUUUCCUUUGAAAAAUAUAUCUCCACAUCAUCUCCCUCGAACCCGGGGCCAGGGAGCAACAUUUGACAAAACCUCUGCAAUUAGGGUUUCGUAAAAUUAUUUUCUACAACUUUAAAUUUUAAAGCAAGAAGGAGAAUGGCCGCUUCUCUCUCGUUCAGACCGAACAUGCUCCUCGUCCUAACUCCUUUCGUUGACCGAACCGGACCCCCCAAUCCUCUUUUAAAUCGAACUCAGUUUUCAGGUUUUUCAGCUCACAGACCAUUUCUUCGCGGUUCUUUACCUGUGGCUAAAUUCGGGUUCAAACCGGGACUUUUUCCUGACCCGGAUGCUUACGAGGGUGUUAUGAGGGAGCUGUUUACCAAAGCUGAAAGCGUUCUCUAUACGAUUGCUGACGCUGCCGUUUCGUCUUCUGACACUAUUACUACAACCACUUCUACUAAUCAAAAUGAUUGGCUUUCGGGUAUCACCAAUUCACUGGAAACUAUUUUGAAGGUUCUGAAAGAUGGGUUGUCGGCUUUGCAUGUUCCGUACGCUUACGGUUUUGCUAUUAUACUUUUGACUGUGCUUGUUAAGGCUGCUACGUUUCCUUUGACUAGGAAACAGGUAGAAUCUGCUAUGGCCAUGCGCUCUUUACAGCCUCAAAUAAAGGCUAUUCAGCAGCGGUAUGCUGGAGAUCAGGAGAGAAUUCAACUUGAAACUGCUCGAUUAUAUAAACUAGCUGGGAUAAACCCAUUAGCAGGAUGCCUGCCUACUCUUGCCACAAUUCCAGUGUGGAUUGGGCUUUAUAGAGCCCUGUCAAAUGUGGCAAAUGAGGGACUCCUCACAGAAGGCUUCUUUUGGAUACCCUCCCUGGCUGGUCCAACUACAAUUGCUGCUCGACAGAAUGGCAGUGGUAUCUCUUGGCUUUUCCCUUUUGUAGAUGGACACCCACCCCUUGGUUGGUCAGAUACAUUGGCAUAUCUUGUGUUGCCUGUUUUGCUGGUUCUCUCACAGUACAUCUCUGUCCAAAUCAUGCAAUCAGCACAGAGCAAUGAUCCAAACAUGAAGAGCUCUCAAGCCCUGACGAAGUUCCUCCCUCUAAUAAUUGGUUAUUUUGCUCUUUCAGUUCCUUCGGGUCUAAGUCUAUAUUGGUUCACAAAUAACAUAUUAAGUUCAGCACAACAAGUAUGGCUUCAAAAGUUGGGGGGUGCAAAGAAUCCAGCGAAGCAACUUAAUGAUGAUAUCAUCAAGGAAGAGCAACUUCGGCUUCAGAAAUCUCUCUCUGAAUUGAAUGGCACCAGAAAGGAGGCAAAACAAGAAGAAAAGUUGACACCAGAAGGGCUGCGCCCUGGUGAAAGAUUUAAACAGUUGAAGGAGCAAGAGGCAAGAAGAAAGCGGCAAAGAGAAGAAGAAAGGAGGGAAGCUCAAGUGGCAGCAGCUAAAGCUGAUCUAUUAACAGAUGAAGGACAUGAGGUAGAGGGUAGCACCACUGAAAGGGAAAAUGGUGCUGGAACUGGCUUAAGCAUUGAAAAGAAUGAAAAAUGUCAACCUGUUUCAGGCCAAGAUUCCUCCAAUGUAGGAAUUGUGAAUGGUGACCUCUCUAAUCAGGACUUGACGGAAGAUCAAAAGAAUGCUUCCUCGUCAAGCAAGAACAGUGAAUCUCUGGAACAUGUAAAGAAGGGAACCGUUGAAGUAUAUACUAGUACAGGCACGACAGAUAACAAACAUGCUGCACAAGACACACAGGAAGCCAGGAGGGAGUGACAGGAAAAAGAGAAACAUGGUAAUGAUGAAGCCUGUACCUGAAUUCAACCAAGAGUGACAGGAGCAGUUGAUUUGCGUGUUGCGUUGGAUGCAGGGGGCAGAAUGAUACUCCUCCCUCCAUAGAAAGUCUGUGCAGCUCAUCAACCAUUAUUAAUAUGUUCAAAAUGGUGUCUUUGGGCUUUGAUGGAGCGUGUGUUGCCCUUUGGUGAUAUCUGGUUUAUACCUGGUGCAUCUGCAGGAACAGCUAAACAAGCAAAAUACAGGACAAUAUAAGAUUUUGGAGGUUUCAGAUAUACCUGUUAAAGAUCCGGGAAAAGAACACUUGGACGAGACUUGGAACAUCCGCCGUUGUCAGAUCGUUUCGACACUCUGGGGGCCUAACCCAGUCCUCAGAACCCAAAAUGGCCUAACCCAGCGAUGCUAAAAACUCUUCCCGACGCAAACUAGCUCAGAAAAUCCAAAGAAACAAGUAGCACAUUCUUACACAUCUUUUAAAUAAAAUUGCAUAGAAGUUACACUUACAGGCAGGCAUGACAAGAAAGGUCUCCGAAUCAAUUUAUCUAUUCUUGCGGCUUGGUCCCUCACUUGCAUAUAUUAUUAAAUGAAAGUCACAGUUUCAAUUACAAUUACAAACUUCUCCUGUAAUCAUAAUCCGUGUAGAAAAUGAAAAACAAAUAGUCCUAACUUGUUCGUUUCAUAUGUUAGUGCUAUAGACUUAUUUAAGAUUCACAAGUUGACUACGUCUUAUCAU